UACGAAGGGUGCAAACGUUGCUCGGAAUUAUUGGGCGUAAAGCGCACGUAGGCGGCUUAGCAAGUCGGAAGUGAAAGCCCUCGGCUCAACCAAGGAAGUGCUUUCGAAACUGCUGAGCUUGAGUACUUAAGAGGAUCGCGGAAUUCCCCGGUGGUAGAGGUGAAAUUUCGUAGAUAUCGGGGAGGAACACCAGUGGCGAAGGCGGCGUCUGGGGAAGAUACUGACGCUGAGGUGCGAAAAGCGUGGGGGAGCAAACAGG
rnacentral:rRNA from 1 species